GCAUCGAUGAAGAACGCAGCGAAAUGCGAUAAGUAAUGUGAAUUGCAGAAUUCAGUGAAUCAUCGAAUCUUUGAACGCACAUUGCGCCCCCUGGUAUUCCGGGGGGCAUGCCUGUCCGAGCGUCAUUACAACCCUCAAGCUCAGCUUGGUGUUGGGCCCCGCCGCCCCGGCGGGCCCUAAAGUCAGUGGCGGUGCCGUCCGGCUCCGAGCGUAGUAAUUCUUCUCGCUCUGGAGGUCCGGUCGUGUGCUCGCCAGCAACCCCCAAUUUUUUUCAGGUUGACCUCGGAUCAGGUAGGGAUACCCGCUGAACUUAAGCAUAUCAAUAAGCGGAGGA
rnacentral:misc_RNA from 1 species